rnacentral:lncRNA from 1 species
CAAAAUUCUCAAGCAGUUGCAAUGCAAUUACGAUCAUCCUCAGCCUCAGGUAAUUUCUUCUCCUGCUUUGUUUUUAUUUGUUACCUAAUUAAGAAGCAUUAUUUGUUUUUAUUUGUUACCUAAUUGAAGGACAAGUGCUGAAGAGUGGGAAUGGUGCUAUAUUGGGGAAUAAUGCAGGAGGAGGUAAAUUAUUGGGAGUUUCUUCAACCUUGUUUUCUUUGAACCAGCGCCUGAUCCACAAGACUCCGUUAAUUUGGCUUUUGAUCGGCUGAUUGAUAAAUUUUCAAUUUCUUUUGUGAUAAAUGUAUAUGUGAAGCAGGCAGCAGGACAUGACUGUGGAAAAGAGAAGAUCUUAGUGAAAGCUGAGACUCAGAUAUUUCUACAAAGUAUGUGUUUUGGCUGAUUUAUCUAAUUCAUGAAAUUUUAUUUCCAUCUGUUACAAGAUCAAACUGAAGCAGAACUCAAAGAAAAGUAUUCUACUUCUUACGGCAAUCUUGCCUUCGUUCAGAUUAUGGAACCAUUUCCAUGCAGCAAAUUCAUCCAAAAGUUUGAAUAAGUUUCAUGGUUGGACACUGUUGGCUUCUUUUUCUUUUGGGGUGCAUUUAGGUGCUAUCAAGUGACAGCCGUAAGUAUGAUUGCACUAAGCUGCUGCUGGGAAAUUCGAGGUUUUGAUGGCUGCCCACGUUAUUGUCAAGAAACUCCUCAUGUAAGAAGUUGUAGUUCUUUUCAUCAGCUUGAACCUAAAACUGUCGCUAUUGAUAACUCAGGUUUUUGUUAUCAACUAUAUCAUCUUUUUCACUGUUUUGAAACUCUUUAAGAUUAAACUUCAGUAAAGUUCUUUCAGUUAUCCACAUAAUCAGGCUGAGGAUACUUUAGUAAAGUUGCUUCAGCUAUUCAAAUGAAAAAUCUCAUUGAUUUGAGACUUCCUUCAUUAUUGUUUUUGAUUAAAAUGCUAAGGGUCCAGAUAAAAUAAUAUUUAAUUGGUGGAAGGUGUCCCUUGGAAGUACAUCAUGAUUAGCUGUUGUGCUAAUCAUGCCAAUGCAUAAUUCGGCCCCUAAUGUGGGUACUCUGUUACAUUGUUCUGCAAAUUCUCCAAAAAAGUUAAAUCAAUAAAUUUUGUAUUAGCUAGAUUAGCUCUAGGUUGUGAGGAGUCUGUCAUAUGGGAGAACCCAUUUCCAGAAAAUAUCUGGUAUUUGUUCCAGUCUUCUAAUGAAUGAAAGUUAUGAUUCCUUUUCAAAAAAAAAAAAGAAUUUUGUAUUAGUUCUAGUGCGUUGACCUAAAUGCUAUUCUAUAUUUUAGUGCCUUAAUUCUAGAACCUUGGCUCCUGCCAGAGCAUGCGGAGAUAAUGGUAGGGAGAGUGUUUGUGUAUUUUAACCAUGAUAAAGCUAAUGUUCCCAAUGAUUUCUGCUGGUGAGACUUGUGAAGAGGGUGAAUGAGGCAACUGCUAAUAUUCCUGGGUGGGAUACAGUAACUAGAGGCUGAGAUCAGGUGGUGGAAUUUUUUGUUUGAUCGAUGAUACCAGAAUUGUCCACAAAAAGUUUGUUGAUACAAAUUACAGGUGAUAGAAAGAGGUAUAGGUGGAGAAGAGAAAUCUGCGAGUCAAAUUAGGGAUAAUUGAUUUGCUGAUGCAAGUUACAUUGAAUAAUAAUAAUAACAAUUGCAUGAAGAUCCCUUAUUAAUCUUGUGUUCUCCUAUCUUUUACAUUCAGCUGGUAUACUUAAGCCUUGCUUGUGGAAUGUUUUAACCUUUAAAUUCACUACCCCUGGAUGUUGGAUUUUCUAGAACUUCAAAAUGAUUAAUGGAGAAAGAUCCCAUUAUCGAUAUCGCUAUAAGAAAUUUUAUUUAUACUUCCAAAGAUACAUUAUAUAUUUAUGUGUAUCUCUUUAUACAUGACAUUUAAGCAUCCAUAAACUGUCAGACAGAGGAAGGGGGUUGAGUGUAAAGAUUCUGUUGACCUAGGGGUUGCCUGCUUAAUGUCACUUGUUAGUGAUCUAUUAUUUAUUUCAUAUUUUGAAGAAUUUAAAGGGCAAUCCUGCUUGUUUGUGUUGUUAUCUCCUUCUAACUUACGGUCGUACCUAAAGAGCAUAGUUUCAUAUGUGUUACCCUGAGAUGUACAGAAUUUCACAUUUGCCUCAGAUUAAGCUUAAUUUCCCACAGAAUAGAGCUGUUGUGACUGAACUUAGGUUGAUGUCAAAAGAGGUAAAUUAUUGGCAUGCCUAGAUAAUUUGACCAUUUCCUAAUUCAUAAGUCUACAUUAAUUUUGAUUUUGAGUUGACUGAUUUCUUUUCAAGGUCUGCUUACUUAACGGAGUGACCAAUGUUUUUCAACUAAAUUUAUCAUAUGAUGCAGGAAGCAGGGCAGGAUAUGAAAUGAGAAGCUCAUUGGUGGAAGUAUUGCCUGUAACAGAACCCAAAGAAAAUGAAACUAUUUCAAGGCAGCAGUUGGCAGUUGCAAGUGAAUGGAGGCCCUUGCCAAAAUUCUCAAGCGGUUGCAAUGCAAUUACGAUCAUCCUCAGCCUCAGGUAAUUUCUUCUCCUGCUUUGUUUUUAUUUGUUCUCUAAUUAGGAAGCAUAAAGUAUCUUGAAUCAUUUUCUGUAUCUGGAAUAUAUGCAAGAGUUUCUAAAAUUUUGAUAUGAGUGUAAUGAUGGUAAUUUCUGUUUUCUGUCUGUCAUCAAAUGUUAGAAAACUUUCAUUGAGACCCUUGAACCGAGUCAUUUUUGACAAGUGAAGUGCUGAAGAGUGAGGAGUAAGAAUGGUGCUAGAUUGGGGAAUAAAGCAAAAGGAGGUAAAUUAUUGGCAGCUUCUUCAGCCUUAUUUUCUUUGGACCAGUGCCUAAUUCACAAGUCUCCGUAAUUUGGCUUUUGACCAGUUGAUAGAUAAAAUUUUAAUUUCAUUGGUGCUAAUGUACCCGUGAAGCAGGCAGAGAAGGACUGUGGAAAAGAGAAGGUUUUUAGUGAAAGCUUAAACUCAGGUAAUUCUAAAAAUUAUAUGUUUUGGCUGAUUUAUCUAAUCAGGAAAUUUUAUUUCCAUCUGUUACAAUAAAACAGAAACAGAACACAAAGAAAAAUAGUCUACCUCUUGUGGCAAUCUUGCCUUCAUUCAGACUAUGAAACCAUUUCCUUUCACCAAUUUCUUCCAAAAGUUUGAACACGUUUCAUGGUUGGACAUAGUUAGCUUCUUUCUCUUUUGGUGCAUUUAGGUGCUAUCAAGUGACAGCCAUAAGUAUGAUUGCAUUAUUGGGAAAUUUUAGGUUUUGAUGGCUCCCCAUGUUAUUGCCAAGAAAUUUUAAGUCCUCAUGUCAGAAGCUGCGUUUCUUUUCAUCAGCCUGAACCCGAACCUGUCACUAUGGAUAACUGAGGUUUUUGUCAUCAACUAUAUCAUCUUUUUCACUGUUUUGAAACUGUUAAGAUUAAACUUCAGUAAAGUUGUUUCAGUUAUCCAUGUAAUCAGGCUAAGGAUAUUUAGCAGCUUAUUUAGGCAACUGCCAGAAUUUAGUUUGUUCGCUCGAAACUUGUAUGGUGACAAGGAUACUGGCAAGGAUAGUGAGAUAGUUUUUUGUGUGAGUGAAUUUUGAAAGCUUGGGUGUUCUGGGAUUUGCAAUUGCAAUCAUCCUCUGCUUUAGGUGAUUUCUUCUCCUGUUCUGUCUUUAUUUUCUCUCUAAUUGAAAGCAUUUCAAUCAAAUUCUGUACCAGGAAUACGAAAAAUUUACUAAUAUUUUAUUUCCAUCUGUUUGCAUUGAUAACUUGGCCGCAUAUGUACUAGUUAAAGAACAAACAGAAGCAGAGUUCAGGAAAAAGUUUCUUCGGCCACCAUAUUUGAAAAUGAAACCAAUUCCAGGAAGCAGUUGGCAGCAAAUUCAUACAAAGUAUAGACAAUGAUGUGCAAAAAGGUGAUUCGCAAUUUCAUUUUUUUAAAAUGAAAUUAUUUGUUAAGUUGGAGCUGAUAUUGUUAGAAGGCCAUUGAGCUAACCUAUGACACUGCUUGCCUAGAUUGCAGGAGGUCAAGGCUCAAAAGAUGCACUGAAUUUUAAAAGGCAUGCAAUAAUUCUUAUGGCCAUUUGUCAAUGGUGGAAUGCUUUUAGCUUCUUUUCCUUUCGUGCAUUUUGGGGUUCUAUCAAGCGACAGCCGUAUGUAUGGAUGGAUAUAGCUGCUGCGUUGAUUUCUAAUGCGGUGGAGUAAUCGUCGUUAGAAUCUGAAUGAUAUGUCUAAGACGUUGCAUGCAUCAAGAAAAUUGCAGAUGAUUAAACCUUGCCAUCUAUGCGUUGUAUGAGGUUAUAGCAACUAUCUAUCUGGUCACCGUUUUAAAAGAAUAAGACAAAGGGAAAAAGAGAAAGAAAAGAAUGAUUCGACAAUGGCAUUAAAGUUCAACAUACCCCAAGAUCUUGUAAUAAUGCCAUUAAUCAUUUCUAGCUAGGCUAGCCUUAGAGAAAAGUGAAACUGUUGCACAGGUAGAAUCACACCCCUCAGAGAUAAUGUGUUUUUAUUCAGCUCUUCGAAUGAAUGAAGUUUAUUUUCUCGUCAAAAAAAAAACUGCUCGUUCCGCUGGUUUCAUACAAUGUCAACUAGAAACAUCAUACUUUCGUAUAAGUUCAUUAUUGUUUCUUGGAAAUAUCAGAAUAUUUCUUAGAGUUUGUAUAAAAUGAAAAGAUUUUAAAAUAUAAAUUUAAUAUUUGUUUAUUACCGUUGUUUGGUCUAAUUUCCUCGGGAGAAUUUUCAGAAUUUAUAGGACAUUAGUUUAUAAUUUGCGCAUUGACAUAUAUCUUAUUUUAUCAUUUUGAAUGAAUUGCACGGCGAGGCUUAUCAACUUUGGAUGAAUCCUCCAAUUGUCGCAGUCCAAGACUGGCUGCAGUGAGUGAAAAUUUACCCAUAUAUAUGCUGGCUAUUUUUAUUGGCGACGAAUUCGUUGUAGUUGGUCCAUCUUGCUAUUCUCGGACAAUAUUAGAGAAAAUAAUCAUAUUAUUUCGCGUGAUGUGACCUUCCAUAACUUAUCAAUUGAAUUACUGUAAAAUUAUUGUGUAAGUUUAGGCCCAAUGGCACUUUAGUUCGAUAGCCUGGAUUUAAAAGGAAAACUAUAUUGCAUUGCUUCAAAAAAAAAAAAUUAAUGUUUUUAAUAUGAAUAUUCUUAACUAUAUUCAGUUAAAAUAAUAUAUUCUUAAUAUUAAUAUUCAUAGAUGAAAUUCUUUUGUGGAUUUAAGAAUAAAAUAUCAAAUAGUUUUAUUUUUCUUUUGUUGUGUAACUUGGACCGAAAAAGAAAAUGAGCUUAACAUGACCCUCCUUCCGGCACUAUGCAUGUUUUUCUUUUAUUGAUGACAGUGCUCUUGGUGCUUCUCAUCUGCUUCUUGCUUUGGUUUCAAACAAGUCUUUCUCCGUCGAGACAUUUAUUGUAAUUUGAUUUGGAGACAUCUGUCGUUCAAAUAUAUUUCAUAUGCAAGCUGUUGAUAAUUCUGCUUGAGAAAGCCUACAAAGCAGCUGUGUGAUGUAAUAGAAGACUAUAUAUGCAAACGGUCAUCAGUUUCUCUUGAAUUCUUUCUUGAGUUUCUUUGAAUUAUUUGUGAAUGAGUUCUUAAUCGGCUGCUGCUCUUCAGGAAAAGGAAAGUGUUGCAAACUGGUGAAGCUGAUCGAUAAAAGCAAUGUACCAUCUUUGCUGGCAUGGAUCGAUGCCAGUGAGUUUUUUUAUUUGUCAACCUUUUUAAUAAUGCAUAUGUUUUUCUUCAACUUGAAGCGGCAUAUAAGACGAAAGAAGUGAUCUUUAAAGCAUUCUAUGGCAUUAUCCUUUCCUAUUAUAUAUAUCCAAUUGCUCCAAAUUAUUUGUAAAUUACUGAACACGAAUGCUGAUGAAUAAACUGAUGGCUCUAUGUAUGUAUGCACAUGCAUGGAGAAAUUUUAAGUCAGACAUUCUCAUAUAUAACUCGUGGGACCAAAUCAUUAAAUAAUCUUGAAAUCAAAGUAAUAAUUAAAUACAAAUAAAUUGCUCGAAUUGUACAUAUAUCUGAAUCAUGUAGUGAAGAAAAUACAACAACAACAACCAAUGGCUCAAAUUCCCCAUCAACUUCUAGUCUCAACACUUUUGAGUGUCAGAAGCAUUACUCUGCUACCAGUUAACAAACAUAUAAUUAGUAAUUUGCCAUUCACUUCCCUUUUAGGCCUAACACAUUUUCUAUAAAGGAGCCACAGAGUGAACUCAGCAGGAAACACUCAAUUUCAACCUACGUAGGACCAGGAAUUUCAACAAAAAAAAAAGUGUGCAAUUGCUUAUCCUAUCCUAUUGCUACUAGAAAGAAAGUGAACAAUUAAUUUCAGUGAAUAAAUUAAAAAAAAUUACUUCUGCAGAUACUCAAGCUAAGAACACAUUAACCCAUUAAAGACUCCAAAUUGCAUCAAACAAAUUGUUGUUAAACAAGUAAAACAAAGAAAGAGAGUUAAGGAAGCUGACCUAGUAGUAGGGGAGCUGAAGAAAGACUGCCAGUGAAUGUAAGAGAAAAUAAAAUGCAAGAAAUGGUGAAGUGCAGCUUUUCAUGUCAACUUGAAAUUGUUUCUUCUGUUUUUUGUAAUCUUUUGGAUUUUUCAAACAAAGAAAAUGAGGAGCAACCAGGGAGAUAAAAAGGGCGCCAAGGCAACUGUGUGUUGGGUUUAGAGCCAAAAAAAAAAAAGAAUAAGACAUCGUGUUCUUGUGGAGACCAGACCUAUUACGUAUAGGGAUGGCAAUGGGGCGGGGUGGGGGUGGGGAUGCCUACCCCAUUCCCCACCCCAUUAAAAAUUUUUGCCUCCAUUCCCCACCCCAUUCCCCAAUAAAUUUAGUGGGUUGGGGAUGGGGAAUCCCCACGUGGGGAAUGAUUCUCCCAUCCCCACCCCAUUCCCCAUUUACAUAUUUUAUAGUAGAUAUAAAAAUAUGAUUUCAGUAAAUUAAAAAUUAGAGACUUAAGAUAAAAUCAUCACAAUAUUAUAAAGUAUUUAAUUUUAAAAAAAAAUCUCUAAAAAUUUGAAACAAUAUCUUAAAAUGAUAUUAAAAGUGAAAAAUAUUUAAAGAAAGCAGCACCUUAAAAGAGAAAAGAAAAUAUAUUAAUGUUUUAAAGUUGAAAAAUAUUGUAGAAUUUUCUUUUAUUCAUAUUCUAUUUAUAUUACAUAAAAAUUAAAAAAAAUUAUUAAUUGACAUUAUAGUUGAUAAAAUAUAAAUUAUUAAAUAAGAAUUAAAAACAUAUUUAUAUAUAAUGGGGAUUGGGGUGGGAGUGGGGUGGGGAGUGCAAUACCAAACCCCACCCCGUUAACAAUUUGGGGAUUAUUUUUUCCCCACUCCCCACCCCAUUCCCCAAAAAUUAUUAAAAAAUUUCCCCAUUUGGGGUGGGGCUCCAUGGGGCCCCAAACCCGUGGAGGAUUUUGCCAUCCCUAAUUACGUAACGUCCCCUUCAAUACCACUUGUUCCGUAUCUGGUUUUUUCUUCGUCUUUUACAUAUUUAUCCUGUGAUUUUACAAUAACUAAAUAAUCCCCGCAUAGUUUGCAAUUUUAUUCAUUUGGGCCCUACAGAUUUCAGUAAUAGGAAUUAUUAAGGGACAAGAGCGCAAAACAGAAACUCUGUCCACUACUGAUGAUAUAACAACGAACCUUUGUAGUUUCUGCCUGUUAAUAUGAAUUGAUCAGGAGUGUUUCCUCACUUACAAAUUACGAAUUUACAAAAUAUGUAUGUAAGUAUGUGUGUACGUACGUGUGUAUGUAUGUACAUAUAUGCAUACACCUAUGUAACAUUUACUUAUACAUUCUUUUGAGUUUAAAUCUUAAUACACAUUUUCAUGAAAUUUUUAUUUUAUUAAGUAUACAACUACAUACAACUACAUUAAUGUAUAUAUUUUUUAUAUAAGACAUGCCGUCCUAUUAUUCAUAAGUAAACAAUGUGUUGUAAAUAGUAUUCUGUGUUUUCUCAAAGUUGACUUUUCGUCUUUUAUUUUCAGACGCAGACGCUAUGUCAUUUUGUAAUCUUCAAAACAUAUGCAGAGCAGAAUUGGUGUUAUAUGAUUUUGUGAUGCAAUAAGAUUUGCACUUCCUGUGCACUCAAUGGAAUCAUUUCUUUGUAACUAAUUGGGUGGUGGAAUGGUGGUCAAAUAUCGAACGAAGACAGAUCUAUCAAACUCCAGAAACAGGGAAACCAUGCCACGCUAGUAGACAAUAUGCUAGUAUGAACAAACUUGUUUGAAUGGCAAAAACGACAUGACCUGCUGUAGUAUUAGUUCUUUCCCGAACCAAAGGGUGAUUUGCUACGUUAGAUCAUGAAAAUUGAAAAAAAAAAUUAACCAAAAUAAAAAUUCUUACGGUAAGAAUAAAAAUUCUUAAGGAAUUAGUUAGUUAAUUGAUUGAUCGAAUUUAAUCUAAAUUGGAAAAUGAUAAGAUAAUUUUGAAUUUUUUAUUAUAAUUAUUAUUUUAAAGUGGGGUGGGUUUAUACAAUUUGAGGCUUUGAGCGGUGUAAAUAUCACUGCUGAAUUAUUAAAUAUACAGUGUAAAAUUUUGACCUUUAAAAUAUUCCUUUUUUUCAUUUAGCACUAUAAGUUUAAAAAUUUAACAUUUUACCUCAAUAAUUAAAUACUUUUAACUUUAAUCUUCAAAUAUUUACCCUACAACAUUCGGACCUAAAUUUUUAAUCCGACUCGGCCCCUGACCCAAGUGGGAAGAAGAUCAGGCUUAUAAGUUAUAACUAUCACCAACAUAACAUCUUCUGGAAAAUAAUAAGAUUACUCACCUGCAAUUAUGUGAUCAAACUAAUGGUAAGCAAAAUAGAACAGCGUUAUUUCAGUCCCCUUUCAGUUUCUUUAUCAUUUUUCUUUUCCUAUUUAUAAGCUUAAUUCGGUCCAAUAUCGGCUAAUUCACUUUGAUUUCACUUUUCUUUCUUUCGGUUCAAAAAAAUUGAACCCAUUGGCUGUCAAUUCAAUUUUGUUGAAAACCAACUUUGCCUGAAUUUGAGUAAUAAUAGAGGAAAAAAAAAGUGUACUUAGCAGAAGAGAUUUCUCAUUUUUUUCUCAUUCAAACUUCUAAAAUAAAGGGAAAAAAAAAACAAGAGUAAUUGUUAAUUAUCAAAAAUUUGUUUAUACUAUUCCACCAAGAAAAUUAUAAAAAAAAAAUUUAAAAAUUGGAGAAGAAAUAUGAGGUGAAAUACGUGGAUGGCUUAGACUAAUAAUGUGAACAAAUUCCUCUCGGAAACAUGUCAUUGUUCAUCCGGACAACACGCGGCAAUGAGAUUCAAGAAUUAAAUGAUAGGAAUCAACUGUAACCUCAUAAACAAAUGGCCUUGGAGUUGUAAACACCAAGCUCGGCAGAUUAAUUAAACAAGAAUAUCCGAAUUUUCUAUGAUAAUCUCUAGGAAACGAUCAGCUAUAAUAUACGAAAUUAAAAUAUUGCAUAUAUUUUUGAACUCAUGCAUUAAUUUCAAAAAUUAUAUCGUAUUAUAAUUUAUUCACAAAAGAAAGAAAAAUUCACUAAUCAAUUGAAUAAAUAUAAGUAUUUCAUCCAGUGUAAUACUUAUAUCAAUUGAAUAAAUAUAAGAAAAAUCACCAAAAUUCACUAAUCAAUUGGAUAAAUAUAAGUAUUUCUUCCAGUGUAAUUUUUGUUUAAUAGAAAAUCUAUUUGAGAUUUUGUGAGAAGAAACUCAACAAUAAAGUGUGAUAGACUUUGUGGGUAUUAAGAGUUUGACAAGUAUUUGAAAUCUGAAGUUUACGAGCAAACAAACUGAAAUCCGAAGUUUACUGAAGUUUACUAUCAAGAGUUUCAAAACAGUGAAAAAGAUGAUAUAGUUGAUGACAAAAACCUGAGUUAUCCAUAGCGACAAGUAACAUACUGAAGUAAGCCGUUGGGAGCUGGCCUGUUCAUGGGCUAUUUUUCUCUGAUGAUCUGCAUUUUUCUUCCUUUUAAGUGAACCUUGACUCGUAUCAAACCUGUCAAAAGAACAGUUCAUCAACUGAGCUGAGAUUUGCUUUCCUUUUUCAAAACCCACCUGAGAUAUUGUAAUUCCCAAAUUUCUCUCUCUCAGCUACACGAGCAAGCAGCCGCUUUUUCACUUCAUCGAAGAAGGUAAGCGAUAUAUCUAUUUCGUCCGAUUGAUUUCUUGUUUCCUUUUCAGUGUUCCGGUAAAUUAUUGGCAUGCCUGACUUUUUGACCAUUACACGAUUCAUAAAUUUAUAUUAAUUUUGAUUUUGAGUUGACCGUUUACUUUUACAGGUUUGCUUACUUUGACUAGGUGACCAAUUUCUUGUAACUAAAUUUAUGACGUGGGCAGGAUAUGAAAUGAGAAUCUUAUUAGUGGAAGGAUUGCCAGUAACAGAACCCAAAGAAAAUGAAACCAUUUCAAGGCAGCAGUUGGCAGUUGGCAGUGAAUGGAGGCCCCUGACAAAACUUCAGUAAACUUCAGAUUUCAGUUUGUUUGCCCGAAAAUUGCAUGGUGACAAGGAUACUGGCAAGGAUAAUGAGAUAGUUUUUGUGUGAAUGAAAUUACGAUCAUCCUCAGCCUCGGGUAAUUUCUUCUCCUGCUUAGUUGUUAUUUGUUACCUAAUUAAGAAGCAUAAAGUAUCUUGAAUCAUUUUCGUUGUCCGGAAUAUAUGCAACAGUUUUUUACGAUCAUCCUGAAUGACUACUAGAGACAGUCAAGCUAAUGACUAUAAAUUAAGCGCUUCUUGGGAGGUAACCCAAGCUUUCUAAACUUUAUUAUUGUCAAUUUUUUUUCAUAUUUUUUUCUUUUCUUUUACUUAUUUUAUUUUGUUUUAUCUAGAUUUUGCACGAGUUCGAGGGUCGAUGAACAUCAACUUUCCACAUGUCUUUCAACGGCUUAGCUACAACUUUACAUCUUCAAGUGCAAAACCGGGGGAGUUUCUCUUUUCCUUUUCUUUUUCUUUACAUUGAGGACAAUGUUUAUUUUAAGUUUGGGGGUGGGAAUAUUUGCUUUUCAUUUUUUUCCCAAAAAAAAAAGAUUUUAAUGCCUAUGAUGAGUUUAUGAUUGAAAAUGAAUAUGGUUCUUAGAAAGGGAUGAAUAUUAUCUUAGUUUAUACUUGAUUCUUGUGUUAGUUUCGUCUUGAUUGAGAUUCUUUAAAGCGAUUCUUUUAGAAUUUUGACUUGAGAUUUGAGAUUGAUACAGCCUAAGUUGAGAAUUUUAGAUUGAGUAAAUGAUUGUUUGCCUCGAUUCUACAUUACUUAAGUUUACCCAGGCACCAUAGUCAGAAAUAGCUACCUACAACCCUUAAGAGUGAAGCUAUCCUCGAGUAAUUUGGGCCUAUGUAUCACCAGUAUGUAGAGGAUAAUCUACCAUGAGAAGAAGGUUACCUUAAGGGGUAGAGUGAAAGCUCCUGACUAUGGACAAAGAAAUGAAAAAAAAAAAGAAAAAAAAAAGAGCACGAGCUUCAAGAAAAAUCAAAAGAAAAUGCUAAUUUAUGCCUGAGAAAAAAAAAAAAAGAUCAAGAUGAUGAGGUUAGUUUGACCUACCCUGUUUAUUAUUCGAGACAAGGGCUGUUGAUGUUGAAGAUCUUGAGAAUGAGUUUUGAUUGAAUUGAUUCACACACAACACAUGAAUCCAAUAUGAGAUGAGGCUGACCAUUGAAUUAAAGUUAGAACUUUGCUAGUAUUUUUAAUUUUCUUUGAGCUAUAUACUUUAUGCAAUCUUUGAGGCAUUUUUUAUGAUGUUUGUGGGUAUCAUCGCUGGAAACCCUCACGAGACUAUAACUCGUCCACUAGGGCCGCCUAGGGGUUUAAAGGCUUGUUGCAUACGCUAAAUGCAAUCGCGAUCACCUGCGAAAGUGGUUUAGUUAGAAUUUUCUUUUCGUAGUUUUUAUUUUAGUUUUUGCUCGAGGACUAGCAAAAUGUUAAGUUUGGGGGUAUUUGAUGUGCUCAUAAUUUAUCUAUUAUUUUAAUGCUUCCAUAACUUAAUUUUAUGUUAAAUUAUAUUUUAUUAUAUUAAUUUUUAUCUUAAUUUUUAUAUUUUGUCAUUGUAGGAAUAUUGAGAAUAUUCAUGAGAAAAGAAGCUUAAAGAGGAAACAAGUUGGAGUAUAAUGGAAAUAAUGUGGAAGCAAGAGGGAAAGAAAUAAAAAGCCAAAUCAAAGAAAAUUUAAUUUAAGCAUCAUGCAUGCAGUCACGUGAUGAAUAAAGGAAGAGAAGAAAAGGUCAAUAGGCUUUUAAUUUCAAGCUAGUUACGUAGAGCCCAUUUGACAAUUUAAAUGGCAAGCUUACAAUAUAUUAAAGGAAGCAAAUAUUUUGGCAUUGUUUGAAAAGGCUAUUCACGUGGAUGGGCUUUGGUUUCAAUUUUGAUUGGCUUAGGAAUGAAAUAGGCGGCUGGGCUUUUGUUUUUAAUUCCUUUCAUAAGAGGAUUUGACAAGCCACAACAUUAUAAAAAGGGAAAAGCCAAGCGGAAGCCAAAAAAAAAAAAAAAAUAAUAGAGCAGCAGCCGCAAGUUUUGAGCAAAACCGAGAGCAGCAUGAAUAAUUUGGAGCAGAAGGAAGACACAUUAAUUCUUGAGUUUUUCUUUCUCUCUUCUCUAUUAUCUUAUUUGAAUGUUUCCCAUUAAAUUCAUGGAUUAUCUUUAUAUUCCCAUGAACUAAUUUAUUUUACUAGAGCUACGAUGUCCUAGUGUUUUAAUCUCUUGGUGAUUUCUAUUACUGCUUGCAUCUUUAUUUGAUUUUUAGUUAUUUUAAUUUUUAAUUUAAAUUCGCUUAUUUGAUUGUUCAAAUAAAUUAGGGUUAGGAUAAUUUCGGUAACUAAUAGGAUAUUCAAUCUCAGUGGGAUGAUACUCUACUCUUCACUAUAUUACUUGUGCCGACUAGUACACUUGCUAAUUUAUGCAAUAGUUGACAGUUGGGAGUGAAUGGAGGCCCUUGACGAAACUUCAGUAAACUUCAGAUUUCAGUUUGUUUGCUCGAAACUUGCAUGGUGACAAGGAUACUGGCAAGGAUAAUGAGAUAGUUUUUGUGUGAAUGAAAUUAUGAUUAUCCUCAGCCUCAGGUAAUUUCUUCUCCUGCUUAGUUGUUAUUUGUUACCUAAUUAAGAAGCAUAAAGUAUCUUGAAUCAUUUUCGUUGUCUGGAAUAUAUGCAACAAUUUUUAAAAUUUUGAUAUGAGUGCAAUGAUUGUAAUUUCUGUUUUCUGUCUGUCAUCGAAUGUAAGACAACUUUAUUAAGAUUCUUGAACCGAGUCAUUUUUGACAAUUGAAGGACAAGUGCUGAAGAGUGGGAAUGCAAAAAGUUUUGUUGUUUUUAGCCUUGUUUUCUUUGAACCAGCGCCUGAUUCACAAGACUCCAUUAAUUUGGCUUUUGAUCAGCUGAUUGAUAAAUGUUCAAUUUCUUUGGUGAUAAAUGUAAUUGUGAAGCAGGCAGCAGGGCAUGACUGUGGAAAAGAGAAGAUUUUAGUGAAAGCCGAGACUCAGAUAAUUCUACGCGUUUUGGUUGAUUUAUAUAAUUCGUGAAAUUUUAUUUCCAUCUGUUACAAGAUCAAACUGCAAUUAGCAAUUUAACAUUCCCUUAAAACCACUAGCUACAUUUCAUCUUUGCACAAUUACACUUAAAAUUCCACUAAAAGAAACUCUUGAGUUGCUCGCAAGCUAUAUAUCAUUAUUCAUUGAAUUCUUACUGUUGAUGCGAGAUUCUGGUUACACUCUUCCGGCUACCAGGAUAUCUGCUCGAUCAACCUCACCUCGACUAGGAUCUCUCCUCGUAUGCUUUCUUCUCCAAGUACUCAUGCGUUCACAGAAACAAGUCAGAGCACGCCGGUUGUUUUCCCGGCGUAAACCCUCCGACGCUCAAGUCAGAUAUGAAGGCUUUGGGAACGCUUGCCACAGAUCUUAUGGCUUUGUAAAUAGUUUUCUCUUCUUUUCAAUUUCCUUAAUCUCUCUUCUAAUCUCGAAAUUGCUAACCCUUUUACCUUCGCUGGCUACCUUUUUAUAGGCCACUUCUGAGCCCAGGCCUUUUUCCCUUUGCGCUCGUCAUCCUCCCACUUCUCGAAAGUGGAUGCUCCAUUUCCGUAGUCGUGGGUGGUUGCGUGGCCCUCGUGCCUAGAUUCUCGGACUGGAAAGCAUGCCACGCCAACUGUCGUUGACCGGGUCUUCUCGAAUCAACCCUUAGCAGGAAUACAGCAGGAAUGGCUUCAGGCUUCUUAUAGGAGAUUGGCCUCGCGGAUGACGUGCUCGUGGACGAGCAGGGUAUUCCUGCUCCUGCUCCUGCUCCCCCGGAUGCCAGGCUCUUACGGGACCCAUCGGCUCGCAGAACUCUACCAUCAGAUAUCUGCUCAUCAUGCCUGGUCUCGUCGACGUAUUUCUCCUAAACACCGGUCCCCCAGUUUCUGGUGUUGGGUAAUGUAGUGGACCAGCAGUAGAAACUCGACAGUACUUGCUCGCGUGGGGUUGGAAAAGGCUUCCAAGAGUCAUGUCGCAUUUAAUUGCGGACGAGGUGAUGUGGCAGAGAUCUAACCCUCCAUUUGAAUUUCAAACCAACGGUUACGAGACCCUUGGGAUUUGGUGCCGUUAAAUGCUGGCAACCCAAGAUUUCGUCCCCAUUAGGAAACCCAAAUCCUUUCGAACGACAAAUUCAUCAUUCACUCCGUCUCCAUCUCUGUCUCUCCGGCAAAGAAGUUCCAGCAUAAAGGCCUCCAUCUCUGUCUUUCACCGACUGAACCAUUACUUCAGGUAUUUCUUCUAUUUCCUUAGUCUCGGAUAGUUGUAGAUAAUUUCUCUUCUCUUUUGCUUGGGUAGUAGUUGGUGGUGGUGUUGUGGUUAGAGCUUAGGGAAUGUCGAAAGGCAAAGAGAAUGUCAUUGAGGUUGACGACGAUGAGUUGGACUUCCUGCCUAGUUUGCUCACCGAUCCUGCUUUUGACCCCGGGAUCCCCUUAGAGCUCAUUAGAUCUAGUGUUGGCACUAGCGCUAGGAGGAUGUCCCCCCAAACAACCUCCACGAGUGGAAGUAGUGGUGAGGAGAGACCCUCUGGCUCGGAAGACACCCUAAGUGAGGAUCAAUGAGGUGACUCUGGGGAGGGGUCUUCACCAGGAACACCGCGACCAGAAGGGUGUAGUACAGUAGGAGGUAGAGCCUUGUCGCGGGAUUAUGCCAUUGAUUACAUGACCUGUACGACCACAUUCAACGAGCUGGAUGACCUCCGGCUCAGGUAUAGCAUUCCUGGUGAAAUUCCUCUCAAGAUCCCAGGAAAGAAGGAUACACCUAGCCGGCCUCCUCGGGGAUACGUUACCCUAUUUUUGGAGAGUUUUAGGCAUGGGCUGAGGUGUCCCUUGCAACCCUACUUUGCCCGGAUUCUUAACGGGCUAAACCUAGCUCCUGGUCAGCUGAACCCCAACGGGUGGAGAGUGCUCUCUGGUCUGUUCAUACUGUGGGACAGAUGUUGUCAAAGCGAGCCCACGGUCGACGAGGUGAAGCACCUGUACCAACUGAAAAGCAGCCCCAAAGACGUCGGCUGGUAUUACUUCCAAUCAAGUACCAAGAUCAGAAAACCCAUAACCGAUCUUCUUACUGGUGAUGGUGGGAAUUGGAAGAGGAAGUUCUUCUUCGCAGGGGGUCCCUUGUUGUUUGCACUUCACUGGUUUGUCUCUAAUCAAAUGUUUGUUUGUGUUGCAGGUUCUUGGGGUGUCCACUUCCCGCUUAAACCUGACCAGCUCAAACGAGUCGAGGCUGUACUAGCCAAUUCCUGCUCGAACCGAGAGCUGUUAACUAUAUACAACUUGCUCGAGUCUCGCUUGAUGCUUCCUGGCCAUAGGAUGGAGGACGCUGUGAUUGGGGCUCUGACCAGGAAACGUUCUCGACCUCCAACCACGAAGAGGGACCAGAGUAAGGACGCCCCUACUGCAAAGCGGGCCAACGUCGUGCAGCAGGUCUCUCCCUUGAAGACUUUACCUCCUGCUCCUGUCAAAGUCGGGGAAACUAGUGGAGCAGCCACAGAUCCUGCUUCCUCUUCUUCUCCUGUCGGCACUCGGUCUCGCUUACCUGACAGCCGAUCAGAACAAUUGGUCCCCUAUCUCAAUGAGUUAUCUAACCUCGUGAGCAAGAAUGACAUGGAGGACUUCGAUGGCUGCACCUUGGGUGAGCUGGUGGGGGCCAUGCAGUAUAGCGCUUUUCACCUCAGCUGCAUGACCACCUAUUACAAGGCCAAGGUUGGGCGCUACGACCGAAAGAUGAAGGAGGACAUUCAAUCGGCGACGACUAGAGCUGGCGUUGCCGAGAAAAAGGCAGGGGAGCUGAAUGUUGAGAACCUCAAGCUGAUGGAGCAGGAAUCUCUUGCUCAAGCAAAAGCCAUUACCCUCGAGGAGGAGCUGACCAAGGUCAAGGGGGAUCUGCAAAGGCAGAAGGCCACGUAUGAGGCUCAGCUCGAAUCCCUCCGCGACUCCCACCGGGCUCACGUCGAGAACUUGGAGAGGGAGGCCAAGAACCAGUAUGACCAGGGACUUCGGCAUUCCUAUCGUUGCAUCAUGGCCGUCCUCGGGAAGCAGCACCCUGAUCUGAAGAUGGAUGAUCUUGCAGUUGGUGUUGCUCAACAUAUGGACGAGGAAGCGGCCAAGGAAGAUGCCGAAGGGGUAGAGCCGAUCGUGAUUGAGGGGGAAAACUCUCCUCCUCGCACAAUCCCUGCUGACGUUGGCGAGGCGAGCACCGCUACUGAUGUUGGCGAGGCGCGCACCCCCCCGGACGCAACUGGUGAUACCCCCCCCCCGCACCUGAGGAGGUCCAGCCAACCAAUGCUGCUCGGCUUACUGAUCCGCCAUCUUCUUGAUAUAUUUCUUGUAUUGUAAUGAACAACGUUGAUGGAGAUUAUCUCCUCUGUUAAUUAUUAACACAUAAAUAAAGAUGUUUUUGAUUAUUUUCGUGUUGUAAUCAUGAGUUAUUUUUCGUUUAAUAAUCUGCCCGUCAUCGUCUGGUUGAGCAGGUUCUGGCCUGGCAUAUGGUUUUACCACAUGCCCUAGAAAAUUCUUCAAUGAUUGAGAUUCUGCUCGCCUUCGCGUGGUCGAGCAGAUCCUGGCACGCUUGGCUUCUGUCUCGCCAUAAACAGGCUUUGAGACUCGACGAGCCUUUGCAUGCCUUAGAAAUAUUUUUUUUUUUCGAUGCUUGGGGGUUCUGCUCGCCUUCGCGUGGUCGAGCAGACCCUGGCACGCUUGGCUUCUGUCUCGCCAUAAACAGGCUUUGAGACUUGACGAGCCUUUGCAUGCCUUAGAGAUUUUUUCGAUGCUUGGGGAUUCUGCUCGCCGUCACGUGGUCGAGCAGAUCUUGGCACGCUUGGCUUCUGUCUCGUCAUAAACAGGCUUUGAGACUUGACGAGCCUUUGCAUGCCUUGGAGAUUUUUUCGAUGCUUGGGGAUUCUGCUCGCCGUCACGUGGUCGAGCAGAUCCUGGCACGCUUGGCUUCUGUCUCGCCAUAAACAGGCUUUGAGACUUGACGAGCCUUUGCAUGCCUUAGAGAUUUUUUCGAUGCUUGGGGAUUCUGCUCGCCGUCACGUGGUCGAGCAGAUCCUGGCACGCUUGGCUUCUGUCUCGCCAUAAACAGGCUUUGAGACUUGACGAGCCUUUGCAUGCCUUGGAGAUUUUUUCGAUGCUUGGGGAUUCUGCUCGCCGUCACGUGGUCGAGCAGAUCCUGGCACGCUUGGCUUCUGUCUCGCCAUAAACAGGCUUUGAGACUUGACGAGCCUUUGCAUGCCUUAGAGAUUUUUUCGAUGCUUGGGGAUUCUGCUCGCCGUCACGUGGUCGAGCAGAUCCUGGCACGCUUGGCUUCUGUCUCGCCAUAAACAGGUUUUGAGACUUGACGAGCCUUUGCAUGCCUUGGAGAUUUUUUCGAUGCUUGGGGAUUCUGCUCGCCGUCACGUGGUCGAGCAGAUCCUGGCACGCUUGGCUUCUGUCUCGCCAUAAACAGGCUUUGAGACUUGACGAGCCUUUGCAUGCCUUGGAGAUUUUUUCGAUGCUUGGGGAUUCUGCUCGCCGUCACGUGGUCGAGCAGAUCCUGGCACGCUUGGCUUCUGUCUCGCCAUAAACAGGCUUUGAGACUUGACGAGCCUUUGCAUGCCUUAGAAAUUUUUCACAGUUUCAAGUGAAUGAAAUUCCUCGACGUUCCAUUAAUUGUAGGAUUCAACUUACAUGAAAAUGUUUGGUCGUAAAAUAAAUAACAGCAAAUACGAACAGAAAGAUCUUGAAAAUAUUAACGACUCUUACUGGAAAUAUUUCCUGAGAUGUGCUGCGUUCCAUGGGCGCUUCACCUCGUGGCCAUCCAUGCGAACCAGCUUGUAAGCUCCUGGUCCCACUAGCUGCUUGACUCUAUAUGGCCCCUCCCAAUUUGGACCGAGCACUCUUUGAGUCGAGUCUUUGGUGUUCUGAUUCACUCUCCUUAACACCCAAUCUCCGACCUUGAACUGCCGUAUGUUCACCUUCUGGUUAUAAUACCGGGCAACCCUCUGCUGGUAAAUGACUGAUCGCUCGGCUGCUUGCUCCCUCUUUUCCGUUAGCAGAUCAAGAUUCAAACAUAUCUGCUCGUCGUUCUCCUGUUCAUUGAAAUGAUAUGUCCGGUGCGUGGUCGUUCCUAUCUCAGUUGGCACGACCGCUUCAUGUCCAAAAGCCAAGGCGAACGGUGUCUCCCCAGUUGCUGUUUUGUGGGUUGUUCUGUAUGCCCAUAGCACACCUGACAGCUCAUCAACCCAUGCACCCUUUUUUGCUCCCAGCCUGGUUUUCAAAAGCCUCUUGAUGGUCUUGUUGGCUGCUUCUACUUGUCCAUUCGAUUGGGGGUGAGCAGGCGAGCAAUACUUCAGCUCUAUUCCGAGGUUCUGGCAGAAAUCCCUGAAGCUGUGAUUAUCGAAUUGUCUGCCAUUAUCCGUUACCAGGGCAUAAGGGAUCCCGUAUCGACAGACCAGGUUUCUCCACACAAAGUCUGUUGUUUUCUUCUCUGUGAUCUUGCUAAGGGCUUCUACCUCUAUCCAUUUCGUGAAGUAGUCUAUAGCAACUAUUGCAUGUGUUGCUGCUCCUCGUCCCUUUGGCAGCGGGCCGAUCAGAUCAAUUCCCCAUUGAGCAAAUGGCCAAGGGGAGGCCAUAGAGGUGAGCUUUUCUGGUGGUUGGUUGGAGAAACUUGCAAAACUCUGGCAACUUACACAGCUCCUGGUCUUCUCCUGUGCAUCCUGGUGCAUUGUCGGCCAGAAAUAUCCCUGCCUUAGAACCUUGUGGGCCAGGGACCUCCCACCAGAAUGAUUCCCGCAAAUUCCUUCAUGUACUUCUCUCAGUACGUAAUCUGCGUCGUCCUCAUCCAAACAUCGGAGGAAAGGUAGUAUAUAUCCUCGCCGAUACAGUACCCCAUCAAUCAUCGUGUAUCUUGAGGCCUGGGCUCUAACCUUCCGAGCUCGCAGCUUAUCUGGUGGUAAUACCCCGUCUCUGAGGUAUGAAAUUAUCGGGUCCAUGCACGAGCAUUUUUGUUCUAUCCGCAACACCCCCAAAUUCUGCUCGAUACUUGGGCUGGACUUCACCUCCAGAGGGACCGACUUUGGCAUUUUUGGGUCGGCUACUGCUGCCAUCCUGGCCAAAGUGUCUGCUCGACUAUUCUGCUCCCUGGGGAUCUGUAUCACCUCCACUGCUUCAAAUUUCCCCAUCAUCUGCCUGACUAUCUUCAGGUACUGCUCCAUCUUCUUCUCUCUUGGUUGGAAUCUUUCGCUGACAUGAUUCGCAACCAGCUGGGAAUAAGUUCUGAUCUUCACUCUGUCUGCUUUCACGGCCUUAGCCAAUUCCAAACCUGCUAUCAAGGCUUCAUACUCUGCCUGGUUAUUUGUGGCUCCAAAUUCCAACUUCACAACAUAAGAGAUCUCCUCCCCCUCCGGGCCUUCCAAGACAAUCCCUGCUCCAGAACCCUGCUCCCCUGAUGACCCAUCCACAUACAUCUGCCAUACUUGAGCUUCGCCACUGUCUGUGACUACAUCUGGUCCAUCUAAACAUACUUCGGGCUCUGUGAAUUCAGCUACGAAAUCGGCCAUUGCCUGAGCCUUUAUCGCUGCUCGGGGUUUGUAGUCUAUGUCGAACUCGCUCAGCUCUAUAGCCCACUUGACGAGCCGACCAGAAGCAUCUGGCUUGUGCACAGUUUGACGCAAUGACUGGUUUGUUAUUACCGAGACCGGGAAUGCUUGGAAAUAUGGCCUCAACUUCCGAGCCGCAACCACAAGGGCAAGUGCCCAUUUCUCCAACGGUGGGUAUCUGGUCUCAGCGUCGAGCAGGGCCUUGCUUGUGUAGUAUAUCGGAUACUGAACUCCUUCUUCCUCUCUCACCAGAACAGAACUGGCGGCCCGAUCCGAUACCGCCAAAUACAGAUAUAACUUGUCCCCAUCCCUCGGUGUGGACAGUAGUGGAGCUUGCUGCAAGUAUUGCUUCAAGUUCUGGAAGGCUUCCUCGCAUUCUGGUGUCCAUUCUGUUUUCUUUCCCCUCCUUAUCACUUAAAAGAAUGGCUGACACUUGUCUGUAACCUUGGAUAUGAAUCUGCUCAACGCAGCCAACCUCCCCGUGAGGCUCUGCAUCUCCUUCAGGUUACGAGGAGACCUCAUCUGCACAAUUGCCUGGAUUUUCUCCGGAUUUGCUUCAAUCCCCCUAUGGCUCACCAUGAAUCCAAGGAAUUUCCCUGACUCGACCCCAAAAGCACACUUCUCCGGGUUGAGCUUCAUCUUAUACUUCCUCAAAAGCCCGAAUGUCUCCUCGAGGUGCCUGACAUGUUCCUUCGAGAUUUUGGAUUUGGUGAUCAUGUCGUCCACGUACACCUCCAUGGUUUUCCCAAUCAACGGCUUAAAGACUUUGUUCACCAGCCUCUGAUAGGUGGCCCCAGCAUUUUUUAGACCAAAUGGUAUUACCCUGUAACAGAACAAACCCUGGUUAGUGAUGAAAGCCGUGCUCUCCUCAUCCUGCUCGUACAUGGGGAUUUGGUUGUAUCCCGAGAACGCGUCCAUGAAACUAAGCAGACCGUGUCCAGCCGUUGAAUCUACUAGUUGAUCGAUCUUUGGUAAAGGGAAGCUGUCUUUUGGGCACGCCUUAUUAAGGUCUGUGAAAUCCACACACAUCCUCCACUUGCCAUUUGCCUUCUUUACCAACACCACAUUCGAUAUCCAUUCAGGGUAAUUGACUUCCCGAAUGAACCCUGCUCUCAAGAGCUUCUCCACCUCGACAUUUAUAGCCUCAUACCUCUCCUGAUUGAAGCACCUCCUCUUCUGCCUUACUGCCCGAGCACCUUUCUUUAUUGCCAGCUUAUGACAUGCUACCUCAGGGUCAAUCCCUGGCAUAUCUUCAUGUGUCCAAGCAAACACAUCUGCAUGAGCCUGUAAGCAUUUCACUAACUCCUGCUUUUGCUCUCCCUUAAGUCUCGACCCGAUUCUGAUUGUUUUUCCCGGAUUCUCUGGUCCCAGGCUUACUGUUUCCAGAUCCUCUACAGGUUCUUGUCUGCCAUUCUUGUUUUCCACUCGGGUAUCGAGGGAUGUUAUCUGCAUUGCUUCCCUUGCUGCUGAGGAGUAGCAGCUUCUUGCGAUCCUCUGAUCUCCUCGUACCACUCCAACUACCCCAUUCACCCGGUACUUCAGAGCCAGAUAAUGGUUGGACAGCAUCGCUUUGCUCAUCCUCAGAAAUGGCCGACCUAGGAUCAUCUGGUAAGGACCUUCCUCAUCCACUACCAUAAAGUCCAGUAUCAUUGUCCUUUCUGUCGGGGAGCUCCCAAUCGUGAUAGGCAGCUCGACCAUGCCCAGAGGGACCAGCCUUCCUCCUCCAAACCCCUUCAAGGAGGUAUUGGUGUAAUCCAACUUCAGGUCUGCUAUUCUCAUCUCCUUCAGGGUUGACUUAAACAACACAUCAACUGAACUCCCUGUGUCAACCAGUAUCCUGUCAAACUUCUUGCUAGCAACAGUGGCCUUGAUGACCAAAGCAUCCUCGUGGGGGUAUAUGAUCCCUUCUUCAUCCUCAUCUGUCCACAUGAUUGGCACUUGCCUGACUCUUGCACGUUUGGCUGCUGGGGUGUUGAAGAAUACCUUUUUGCUGGUCAUGGCGUAUCUAGCAUAAUUUUUCCUCGAUCUGUUAGAAUCUCCGGCCAAUGUUGGGCCCUCAGCUAUAACCCUUACUGCAGGCUGCUCGCGCCUCAAGUUCCUGUCACUCUGCUCCCCUUCACUUGUUGAGGCUACCAUUGGGAAGGUCCCAUCUACGAACUCGUCCAGAUACCGAUUUCUCACUAAAUCUUCAACCUGGGUCUUAAGAUCUCUGCAAUCUGCUGUGGUGUGGCCAUGAGUGCCAUGGAACUUACAAUAGCGUCCCCUAUCCCUCAUGCUGGGUAGCUUGGUUAUUGGAGCAGGGAGGUAUAGCAACCCCCGAUCCUUUAUGGCCUCGUACACCUCGUCCAGGGACAUCUUCAAGGAAGUGUACCGCCCAUAGUCCUAGUUCUGGUCGAUCAGGUGUACUGCUCUUUCUCUGUUUGCUCCGUUCUGGGUUGGGGGCGGUGGCAGUACUUCUGGUCUGCUCCCUCUGCUACCGUGGGAGUGUUGAUGAGCACCAUAUGAUGAAUCAUGCCUUCUCCAAGGCUCCCUAGCUGUGGAACGAGGAGGCUGCGCCCUGCUGCGCUGAUACUGUGGUGGGCUCUGAUGAGGCUGGUAAGCAAUUACCCGACCUCCUGCUCCAUUACCCGAGGCCUGGUGGUCCCUCCUCCUGAUCGGCCCAUUCCCCGGUAAUGCUUUCUUCUCUUUCCUCCCCAACCCUUCUAACUGGUCUAUCUUAAUUCGUGCUGCCUUCUCCUCUUCAAUCUCAAUGUCUCUCUUAGCCUGCUCGUAUGCGGCCGCAUACGUCUGGAUAGCUGGGCUUCUCAAAUUGUACCACAGCCUUCCUAUCUUCACCCUUUCUUUCAAUCCCCUUAACGCCUGAGGGUGGUUGAAGGCUCCCAAGUCGAGGACAGCCCGAUGAAACCUCUUGAUGAAUUCCCGAAGGGUUUCUUGCUCCCCCUGUUUCAUGCUUUUCAGCUCCAUCAUGUCAUCUUCUGGGGCCAUUGCCCCACUAAACUGCUCUGCGAAUUCCUGGCACAUCUGCUCGAAGGUUUUAAUGCUGCCCCGAGGAAGUUUCCUGUACCACUCGCGUGCACGUCCCUCCAGGGAUAGUGGAAACACCCUGCACCUUUGGGGCUGAGAUAAUCCUUGUACCCCCGUUAUGUCAUUGAAGCGUUCUAUGUGCACCAGCGGAUCAGUUCGUCCCGAAUAUCUAAGGUCCGGGAGACGGAAAUCCCUCGGAAUAAUUGCCCUCAUGAUCUCUGCUGCGAGCAGUGAUUCUCCGUCCAGCAUUAUCCUCCAACCAGGAGCUCUGCUCCUUCCUUGCAUAUCGUCAAUUAUCUGCGCUAGUCUGCGCACUUCCUCCUCCAGCUGUACUGCACGACCAGGGUCACGUGCUGCAACUUGAUCCCUCUCUUGCUCUACAUCAUGCAAGUGUUGCCUCAACUCUGUUUCUUCUGCAUUCGCCACCCCGUCGUCCUCGUAAAAAAUCUGUCUUGCCGGGGAUUGCUCUUCUUCUCUAUGAAAUUCUCCCCGUAGAGGUAUGUUACCUCUCUCACCACUAAAUCUCCCGGUGGUUUGACUUCUCCUCGUACCAUCGGGACCUGGUGUCACUCCACCACCUCUCACCAUUUCCUCCUGGGUUACCCUUCGUUCACUCCGCAACUCAUGCAGGAUGGUUGUCAGGGUCUCCAUCUGCUUUUCCAUCCGUUCCAUCCGGUCGAACAUGGCUUUUUCCCGUGCUUCGCUGGCUAUCUCCCUCAGCGUUACAGAAUCGUUAAGCCUCAUAUCACCCCCUUGUGCACUACUUCCUCCUGCCUCCAUUGCUUUUCACUUGCUUCACUCCUCUUCUUGCUAUCAACAGAAGCUUUUUGCUCAGCUCCCCACAGACGGCGCCAAAAUGUUGAUGCGAGAUUCUGGUUACACUCUUCCGGCUACCAGGACAUCUGCUCAAUCAACCUCACCUCGACCAGGAUCUCUCCUCGUAUGCUUUCUUCUCCAAGUACUCCUGCGUUCACAGAAACAAGUCAGAGCACGCCGGUUGUUUUCCCGGCGUAAACCCUCCGACGCUCAAGUCAGAUAUGAAGGCUUUGGGAACGCUUGCCACAGAUCUUAUGGCUUUGGAAAUAGUUUUCUCUUCUUUUCAAUUUCCUUAAUCUCUAUUCUAAUCUCGAAAUUGCUAACCCUUUUACCUUCGCUGGCUACCUUUUUAUAGGCCACUUCUGAGCCCAAGCCUUUUUCCCUUUGCGCUCGUCAUCCUCCCACUUCUCGAAAGUGGAUGCUCCAUUUCUGUAGUCGUGGGUGGUUGCGUGGCCCUCGUGCCUAGAUUCUCAGACUGGAAAGCAUGCCACGCCAACUGUCGUUGACCGGGUCUUCUCGAAUCAACCCUUAGCAGGAAUACAGCAGGAAUGGCUUCAGGCUUCUUACAGGAGAUUGGCCUCGCGGAUGACGUGCUCGUGGACGAGCAGGGUAUUCCUGCUCCUGCUCCUGCUCCCCCGGAUGCCAGGCUCUUACGGGACCCAUCGGCUCGCAGAACUCUACCAUCAGAUAUCUGCUCAUCAUGCCUGGUCUCGUCGACGUAUUUCUCCCAAACACUUACCACAUAUAUGUCACCUUUCAAUCAAUUGUUGAAAAAUUCAAAUUUGGAAUUCAAAUACAUGCAUUCAAAUUUGGAACACUUUGAACGGUCCGAUUCAAAACUUCAUAUUCCAAUUAUAUUCAUAAGACAAAUGGAACACUUUGAACGGCUUGUGUCCGAGCAUUGUAGUUUGAUUUAUUUUGAUGACAUUACCUUUUGACAUUGAGAUUCUUUCAGGAUUUAAACAUUCUUUUUAAAACCAAAUUAUUAAAAAAAAAUAACUAACAUAUAUUAUUUUAUUAGUGCUUUUUAAAUCAAAUAUACAUAGGAGAACUGUAAUUCUUAGCAAUCAAUUUUCCACUAAAUACACCUGCAACAAACUAUUAAUAACAAAGUGAUAGAAAAUACCUGAUUUUUCAUACUUUCUAAUUUCUUUUGGUCCUAAAAUAUGGGCAUUUGUGUAAUAAUAAGCCCAUGUGGAUCUCUAUGCCAUGAGUUUGAUAAAUAGCUAUCAAGGAUCACUUAUUAAGCUAAAAAUAUUUGGAGGACAAAAUUGUAAAACUAAAAGGGUGGAGCAAAUAUGGCUAUCUAGGAUUAAAUAGUAAGUCAACUAUAUUUAAAGGAUAAAAUAUUAAAACUUGAAUUGUGAUAUUAAAAAUAUCUCAACUAUUAUAUUAUUAAACCAUAUGUUCUAAUAGUUUUUUUUUUAAGCUUCAAAAUGUUCAGGAUUUUAGAUUGAAACAUUUUCAAUUGAAAUAAUUUGGUGCAGUCACAAGUUAAGAAAGAAAAAGUUGUCCCAUUGGUCAUUUCACAAAAAUGAAAGCCCUGUAUAACAUGGACGUGAAUGGAAACCCAAUUGUUUGUGUUUGAUUAAUUGAUUUCAAGCUUUAUCUAACCUUUGGACCUGGAUACUUUACUGCGGCCUCUAAGCGCUAUAAAUUUUUUUGGGGAUAAACGGCGCUUCAAUGAGGGCAUCUCCAAUGCUUAACACCAUUUUGGUGUAACACCAACAUUAAAAAUAUACAUUUUUCACACUAAAUUACUAUUUCAUCUCCAACCCAUUUACACCAAAUUUUACACCAAAAAUAAUAUUUUUUUUAUUCUUUUAAUUCUCAAGAAUUAAUUCAAUUAACACAAUAAAUACUACUAUUAACAUAGAUAAUUAAGUAAUAAGUAAUUUUAUCAAUUAACAAAAAAAAUAGAAAAUUAUUAAAUUUGCAUUUAAUUAACUAAAUUAGUACAUUAUGAAAAUUAAACAUUACAUUAAUAUAGAAAAAUACAAUAAAAAUAAUAAUAAUUUUAUAUCUAAUAUUUUGAUGAUAUUGGAGGAUCUAAUAAUGAUCUUCCAGAUUAUUAAAUAAUUGUUCUAAUUUAUACUAGUAGUAGUAGCUUUUUUAAUUUGUGUUAAUUUAAUUUUGUAAUAUGUAAUAUAGUAAUUAAUGUUAUUGGCAUUUUAUUUUUAUUAUUAAUUUUUGUGUUGAAUUUUUUUAUUUAAAAUAUUAGUAUAAUAUUAAAAAAUUAAAAAUGAAAUAAAUAAUAACAAAAAUAAUAAUAAUAACUUAAAAUAUUAUAUAAAAAAGGACAUAUAUGUAAAUAAGAAAAAGUAAUAAAGAUAUUUAGGACUCUUUUUUCCUAGCACCAAAUGAAUAGUGUUACACCAUAUUUGGUGCAAUACUAUUCAUAACACCAAUUUGCUGUUCGUUUUGAUGUUACAUUGGAGAAGCAUUUUACACAAAAAAUGGUGUAAAAGGUAGUUUGGUGUUAGUUUUGGUGUCACAUUGGAGAUGGCCUGGAAAAACACUUGAAAACUUUGGAUUUUUGGUUCGUCCAGUUACGGUGUUAUGCUAAUGGGGUUAAAAGUUCCGAUCCAAUGAGUUAGGAUGGAAUAUGAAUAUAUAAAUUCCAUAGCAUGUAAGGACUAGGAUUUGUUUGUUCAUAUCAAGAAAAAAAAGAUCCGAAAAUUUGAUGAUCAGAAGAUGAAGACACGUUUAUUACAGAGAAACAAACGACAACAUGAUACUAGUAGUAGUUAUUCUUUUCAUCCGAUAUAUUACAUGGUAAUAUCACUACUCGUUCCACUGGUUUCAUAUACACCAUCGAUCAGCAACAUGAUAAUUUUGUGUCAGUUCAUUUUGUUUGUAGGAAAGAGCAGUGUAUUUCUUAGAGCUUGAAAAUAAUAAAAAGAUUUUAAAAUAUAAAUUGCAUAUUUGUUUAUUACAGUUGUUUGGUCUAAUUUCUUAUGUAGAAUUGCUUGUCAUUCUUUGGACGUUAUUGAUUAUAUUUUUGUCAGACUUGGCGUAUAUAUUCACACAUACGUUUUAUUUUGUCAUUUUGUAGAACAUUUUUACACGCCAUAUUAUCACGACUCUUCUCUGUCUGAAUAAGAAGAAAGCAUAAUGCGACCCUCCAAUAGCUUAAUCUAUGGAAUUAUCGUGUUUUGUAAGUUGAGGUCCAAUGGCGUUUUGGCACAUCAUAUGAUAGCCCACUAUAUUGCGUUGCUUUACAAAAGAUUAAUAUUUUGAAAAUUAUUAGGUAAGUUUAGGCUCAGUGGCACUUUAACUCAUGAUAUGAUUGUCCAGGUUUUCGAGGACCACUAUAUUCUAUUGAUUUAAAAAAAAUUAAUAUUUUUUAAUAUUAAUAUUCUAAAUUAUAUUCAGUUCAAAUAUUAAAUAUUAAAUACAUUCUUAAUAUUAAUAUUCUUAGAUGAAAUUCUUUUGCUGACUUAAGAAUAAAAUAUUAAAUAAUUUUAUUUUUCUUUUAUUCUGUAACGUGGACCCAAUAAAAAAAGGAAAUGAAUUUAAUAAAACCUUCAUUCAAAAUCUUCAUUCCGCCACCAUGCAUGUUAAUUGUUUCCAAAUUCCAACCUCCGUACUCUCUUGAGGAGUUUCCCAUUCAUCAAUUAUUAUUUUUUAUAAUCCAUACCAUCCUGAUAUAAUUAAACACCAUUAAUAAUGUACCAACCUUUAAAUAGUAAUUAAUUUAUUUAUCUAAUUCACCAAAUGUUUUUUCCGGUACAUAUCUCCAUUGGUAUCAAGAAGAAGCAGAACCCAAAGAAAUGUUUCUUGCAUCUUCAUAUUUGUGCGAAUUCAUCCUUUCAUUGAGAAUAACCAUUUCCAGGCAGCAGUUGGCAAUCAAUUCAUGCGCACGUCGAUGCUAUUCAUAGAUACUAAAGACAAUGAUGAACCAAAGGUGAUAAAUCAUAAAUGCAUAAUUACCAAACCUCCAUCCUUCUCUCAUUAUGAUUUGAUUUUAAAUGAAUUAUUGCUUGGUAACAUUAUUUCCAACCAUUGCAAGACCUUUUUUUUGGAGAAAUUUCAAUUGAAAGUGAAACCUUUAGACAUUUACCUAAUGAAGUUAGUUAAUCGGGAGGGUCGGAAAAAAAAAGUUGACGCAAGUCAAUACACAAUAAUCAAUUAAAUCCGGAGUGACUAAAACAGAGCCACUACUUUUUAAAAAAUAUCUGCAUUAAUCACUUUCUCCAGCAACUAGUCAGCUACACACGAAUCAAUUUCUCUCCUCGUUUGUCAUCCAAAAUUAUUCACCAAUACCAUGGCUGAUGCAAUCGUUUCCACUAUCUUGGAGCAGCUGAUUUCCUUCGCUGCUGAAGAGAUAAAACAACAGGUGAUCGAAGUUUCACCCCUCAUAUUACAAAUACUUCCAAUGAUUUUAAUUGGCUUUGUUUUUAUCAAAAACAUUAUAUAUUUUUGCUUUUUUUUUAUUUAUCUGAUAAUUUUAUAUUUUGAAAUUUGAAUUGAAUUUAAUUAAAAGGUGAUGUAGUAACCACUCAUUUUUAUUUUAUUUCAUUUCUAUUCUCGAUAACUAACCAUAUUUUGGUAACUUAAUAUGACUCUCGUACAUAAGAAAUGAUCAAAACCCACAAUUUUAACUAUGUAUAAAUAUUCAACGUUGAGCUAAGGUUUUGCAGAACAUUCAAGUUUAUCAAAUAGUCAUUAAUUUAAUGUUUUAGUAAAACCUCAACUCAUCACUGAAUCCCAUAGCUAUUACUUAGACUCUAUGAAAAAUUUCAUAGUUUUCUUACAUUCUUUCAGUUUGGUAAGUGAUUUCAUAUAAUUUCUGUUCAAUAUAAAUUUUAAUUUGGUUUCUUAUAUACUCUCUUUGCUGAAUUUGUAUCUUUUAUGAUUCUUAGAUUUUGGGCUCUAACAUUUUAGGAUUUGAUAGUCACAUUUUAUGCCAUGCUUAGAUUGAUUUUCAUGAUUUUUACUACCCAUUAAGUGACUUAGAAUUUGACAAAAGUUUGAAAGGAAAUCUGCUUCAGGAUUCUGUUUUAAUUGACCUUUUAGUGGAAAUAGGAUGCUUAUAACUUAAUGUGGAUGGUUCGUAAAAUCAUGAAAUUUGGAUAGAAUUAACUAGAAAUAUGUACAAGACUCUCCAUGAAGUCUCAUAAUUUUUCAUUCGGUCUGGGGUGGUACAGGUGAAACUUGUGGUUGGUGUUGAAAAAGAAGUGAAAAGCCUUACCAGCCAUCUUCAAGCCAUUCAAGUUGUGCUCGAUGAUGCAGAGGAAAAGCAAGUGAAGGAAAAAGCUGUUAGUCUUUGGCUGGGUAGGCUCAAGUAUGCAUCCUACGACAUUGAAGAUGUGUUGGAUGAGUGGAUCACAACAAGACGCAAAUUGCAAAUUGAGGGUGGCAUUGGUGAAAAUGCUCUUGUUGUUCCUCAUAAGAAAAAGAAGGUAUGUCUCUGCUUUCCCGGCUCUUGUUUUGGAUUCAAACAAGAAGAAUUUGGUUUCAAACAAGUCUUUCUCCGUCAUGACAUUGCCGACAAGAUCAAAGAAAUCAAUGAAGAGCUACAUGAUAUUGCCGCUCAAAAAGACAUGUUUGAUCUUGUUAAGAGUGGCAAUAAAAGUAGUGAAAGACCAAGGCGUGUACAGAGUACCUUCUUGAUUGAUGAGGAAGAGAUUUGUGGCAGAGUUGGUGAGAGGAAUGAACUCUUAAGCAAGCUGUUGUGUGAGAGUAGCGAGCAACAAAAAGGCCUUCAUAUCAUCUCAAUCGUUGGUAUGGGAGGCAUAGGGAAAACAACUCUUGCACAACUAGCUUGUAAUCAUGACGAGGUGAAGAGAAAGUUCGACAAAAUUCUGUGGGUGUGUGUAUCAGAAACUUUUGAGGAGUUUAGGGUUGCCAAAGCGAUCGUUGAAGUUUUGGAUGGUCGUGAAUCUCAUUUAGCUGAAUUCCAUUCUCUUCUUCAACAUAUUUAUGAAUCCAUUGCAGGGAAGAGCUUUCUUCUUGUCUUAGAUGACGUGUGGGAUGGAAAUUACUUGAAAUGGGAACCAUUCUACCGUUGUCUAAAGAAUGGUCUCCAUGGAAGUAAAAUUUUAGUUACCACACGUAAAGGGUCAGUCGCAUCCAUGAUGGGAUCCAUAGAUAUUAUCUCCGUUAAGGAGUUAGCUGAAGAGGAAUGUUGGUUGUUGUUUAACAAGAUAGCAUUUUUUGAUCGGUCCAUCGAGGAACGUGAAAAAUUAGAACAAAUUGGGCAAAGAAUUGCAGGCAAGUGCAAAGGUUUACCUCUUGCAGCAAAGACAAUAGGGAGUCUCAUGCGUUCUAAACAAACUGAAGAAGAGUGGAAAAGAAUUUUAAAUAGUGAUUUAUGGAAAGUAGAAGAGAUUGAGAAAGAUGUUUUGUCCUCUUUAUUGUUGAGUUAUAAUGAUUUGCCAUCUAGAGUAAAAAGAUGUUUUUCAUAUUGUGCUGUCUUUCCAAAAGACUACAAUAUAGAAAAAGACAAACUAAUCACGUUAUGGAUGGCUCAAGGUUAUCUUAGUGCAGAAGAAGAUGAAGAGAUGGAGACAGUAGGUGAAGAGUAUUUUGGCAUCUUAGCUUCUCGCUCAUUUUUUCAAGAGUUUAAGAAAAGUUAUGAUAAUCGGAUUAUAGAGUGUAAGAUGCAUGAUAUGGUACAUGAUUUUGCCCGAUUUGUAAGUCAAAAUGAAUGUUUUUCGAUGGCAAUCAAUGGUAGUGAAGAACCAAACGCCACAAACUCUCUUGAUGAGAAGGUCCGUCAUUUAAUGUUAAUCUUUAGUAUAGAGGCUUCAUUACCUGUUUCCACUUGUAGAGUUAAAAGAAUUCGUAGCCUCUUAAUUAACGAUAGUAGAUCUGAUCAUUCAUUAUUAAAUGGUGAGAUCCUAGAAGAAUUAUUUAGGGAAUUGACAAGUUUAAGGGCAUUAGAUUUUUGCAAAUCGUAUAACGCAAGUUGGUCUUCGACUCUGGAGAUUCCGAGAAACAUAGAAAAGCUGGUACAUUUAAGAUACCUUAAUUUGUCUUAUCAGGGAAUAAAGAAACUACCGGAGACAUUAUGCGAGUUGUAUAAUCUAGAAAAGUUAGAUAUUAGUUAUUGUUAUAAGCUAGAAGAAUUACCUGAAGGGAUUGGGAAGUUAAUAAACAUGAAGCAUUUACGAAAUAGAGGUACUAGUUCUUUAAGGUACAUGCCAGUAGGGAUUGGGAGAUUAACGGGUCUUAGGACCUUGGGUGAGUUCCACGUGAGUGCAGGAGGAGGUGUUGAUGGUAGGAAAGCAUGUAGGCUUGAAUCUCUUAAAAACUUGGAACACCUUCAAGUAUGUGGUAUAUGUAGACUGGGUGAUGUAUCAGAUGUGGGCGAGGCUAAGCGAUUAGAACUUGACAAAAAGAAAUACCUCUUCAGUUUGACCCUCGAGUUUGAUAAGACGGAAAGAGGAGGAGAAAGGAGGAAGAACGAGGACGAUCAACUUCUUCUUGAAGCCUUGCGACCACCCCUGGAUUUAAAGGAAUUAGAGAUACGGUACUACCGAGGCAACACUGUUUUCCCCAGCUGGAUGGCGUCAUUAACCAACUUAAAGAGUUUACAUCUCCAUAGGUGCGAAAAUUGCGAGCAGCUGCCUCCUUUGGGAAAAUUGCCGUCCCUUGAAAAUCUCUACAUAUGGCGCAUGGAGAGUGUGAAGAGAGUGGGUGAUGAAUUUUUGGGGAUAGAAAGUGAUCAUCAUGACUCAUCGUCAUCUUCAUCAGUUACUAUUGCCUUCCCCAAAUUGAAAUCACUCACAAUUUAUUCGAUGCUGGAAUUGGAGGAGUGGGAUUAUGAGAUUACAAGAACAGGAAACACCGUCAUCAACAUCAUGCCACGUCUUUCUUCCUUGACAAUUGUUGAUUGCACCACAUUAAAGGCACUGCCCGACCACAUUCAUCAAACGACAACGUUGAAGGAAUUGAGCAUUUUUAUGUGUUGGCUUCUGAACAAACGUUACCGCAAGGGGAAAGGAGAAGACUGGCCUAAAAUAUCACACAUUCCCAACCUCCGUAUUGGGCUUUGACAAGUAAUUUCUUCUCUCACUCUGAUUUGCUUUGUUGUUGUUUUUAAUCUAAUUAAGAAGCGAAAAUAGCAUUUUGAAUCAAACUCUAUAUCAGAAAUCUGCAAUACUUACUUUCUAAUAUUCUGAUUUUCAUAUCCUAUGAAUAUACGAUUUUUAAUUUGUGAGAUGGGUAACGUUACUGUAAAAGAUUAUUAAUGCAAUAUGAGUAAUUCUUUUGCAGGACAAGUGACCUACAUUUAGUUUGGCUUUGGAGUUGAAUAAUAACCUUUCGUGGUCCCGACAACCAAAAAACAAAGCUUAAUUUGCCACAGAUUGAACGUAUUGCCAUUAUUGACAAUUUUCUGCACAAGCGUGACUGAACUUAGGUUGAUGUCAAAAGAGGUAAAUUAUUGGCAUGCCUGACUAUUUUGACCAUUACAUGAUUCAUAAGUUUACAUUAAUUUUGAUUUUGAGUUGAGUGAUUAGUUUUCUAGGUUUGCUUACUUUAACUGGGUGACCAAUUUCUUGUAACUAAAUGUAUGAUGUGAUGCAGGAAGCAGGGCAGGAUAUGAAAAGAGAAGCUUAUUAGAGGAAGGAUUGCCAGUAACAGAAUCCAAAGAAAAAGAAACCAUUUCGAGGCAGCUGUUGGCAGUUGGCAGUGAAUGGAGCCCCUUGAAAAAAUUCCCAGGCCGUUGCACUGCAAUUACGAUCAUCCUCGGCCUCAGGUAAUUUCUUCUCCUGCAUUUUUGUUAUUUGCUAUCAAGUGACUAUUUUAAGUAUGAUUGCAUUAAGCUUCUGCUGGGAAAUUUGAGGUUUUGAUGACUGCCCAUGCUAUUGUCAGAAGCUGCGGUUCUUUUCAUCAGCCUGAACCUGGACCUGCCGCUAUGGAUAACUCAGGUUUUUUUUUUUUUUUUAAUCAACUGCCAUCUUUUCCACUGUUUAGAAACUCUUAAGAUUAAACUUUAGUAAAGUUGUUUUAGUUAUCCAUGUAAUCAGGCUGAGGAUACUUAGCUGCCUAUUUAGGCAAAUGUCAGAAUUUAGUUUGUUCGCUGGGAACUGGUGUGGACUGGCAAAGGAUGAUGAGAUAGUUUUUUGAGUGAGUAAAUUUUGGGAGCUUGAGUGUAUUGGGAUUUGCAAUUACAAUCAUCGUCUGCCUCAGGUGAUUUCUUCUCCUGCUCUGUCAUUGUUUGUUCUCUAAUUCAAAAGCAUAAAAUAUUUCAAUCAAUUUUUAUGCCAGGAAUAUGCAAAAGUUUCUAAUAUUUUAUUUCCAUCUGUUACAAGAUCAAACUGAAGCAGAACUCAAACAAAAGUAUGCUACUUCUUGCGGAAAUCUUGCCUUUGUUCAGAUUAUGAAACCAUUUCCAUGCAGCAAAUUCAUCCAAAAGUUUGAAUAAGUUUCAUGGUUGGACACUGUUGGCUUCUUUUUCUUCUGGGGUGCAUUUAGGUGCUAUCAAGUGACAGCUGUAAGUAUGAUUGCACUAAGCUGCCGCUGGGAAAUUUGAGGUUUUGAUGGCUGCCCAUGUUAUUUUCAAGAAACUAUUGAUGUAAGAAGCUGUGGUUCUUUUCAUCAGCUUGAACCUGAAACUGUCGCUAUGGAUAACUCAGGUUUUUGUUAUCAACUAUAUCAUCUUUUUCACUAUUUUGAAACUCUUAAGAUUAAACUUUAGUAAAGUUGUUUCAGCUAUUCAAAUGAAAAACUCAUUGAUUUGAGACUUCCUUCAUUAUUGUUUCUAAUUACAAUGCUAACGAUCCAGAUAAAAUAAUAUUUAAUCGGCGAAGGUGUCCCUUGGAAGUACAUCCUUCUUUUUCUUUUAUUAUAUAAAUUCUUGCAAUGAGCUUAGUGAAGCUGUUGUGCUAAUCAUGCCACUGCAUAAUUUGGCCCCUAAUGUGGGUACUCUGUUACAUUGUUCUGCAAAUUCUCCAGAAGUUAAAAUCAAUAAAUUUUCUAUUAGCUCUAGUGCUUUGACCUAAAUGCCAUUCUAUAUUUUGAUUACAAUGUUUUAACCUUUAAAUUAACUACCCCUAGAUGUUGGAUUUUCUAGAACUUCAAAAUGAUUAAUGGAGAAAGAUCCCAUUAUCGUUAUUGCUAUAAGAAAUUGAUUUAUGCAUCCAAAGAUACAUUAUAUAUUUCUGUGUCUCUAUUUGUAGAUGACAUUUAAGCAUCCAUAAACCGUCAGACAGAGGAAGGGGGUUCAGUGCAAAGAUUCUGUUGACCUAGGGUUGACUGCAUAAUGUCACUUGUUCGCAAUCUAUUAUUUAUUUUAUAUUUUGAAGAAUUUAAUGGGUAAUCCUAAUUGUUUGUUUUGGCAGGUAUGUGUUGUUAUCUCCUUCUAUCUAACAGUCGUACCUAAAUAGCAUAGUUUCAUCUGUGUUACCAUGUGAUGUACAUAAUUUCACAUUUGCCUCAGAUUAAGCUUAAUUUCCCACAGAAUAGAGCUGUCGCGACUGGACUUAGGUUGAUGUCCAAAGAGGUAAAUUAUUGGCAUGCCUAGAUAAUUUGGCCAUUUCCUAAUUCAUAAGUCUACAUUAAUUUUGAUUUUGAGUUGACUGAUUUCUUUUCAAGGUCUGCUUCCUUAACGGAGUGACCAAUGUUUUUCAACUAAAUUUAUCAUAUGAUGCAGGAAGCAGGGCAGGAUAUGAAAUGAGAAGCUCAUUGGUGGAAGUAUUGCCAGUAACAGAACCCAAAGAAAAUGAAACUAUUUCAAGGCAGCAGUUGGCAGUUGCAAGUGAAUGGAGGCCCUGACAAAAUUCUCAAGCGGUUGCAAUGCAAUUACGAUCAUCCUCAGCCUCAGGUAAUUUCUUCUCCUGCUCUGUUUUUAUUUGUUAUCUAAUUAAAAAGCAUAAAGUAUCUUGAAUCACUUUCUGUAUCUGGAACAUAUGCAGCAGUUUCUAAAAUCUUCAUAUGAGUGUAAUGAUGGUAAUUUCUGUUUUUUGUCUGUCAUUGAAUGUUAGACAACUUUCAGUGAGACUCUUGAACCGAGACAUUUUUGACAAAUGAAGGACAAUUGCUGAAGAGUGGGAAUGGUGCUAGAUUGGGGAAUAAAGACAAAGGAGGUAAAUUAUUUGCAGUUUAUUCAGCAUUAUUUGCUUUGGACCAGCGCCUGAUUCACAAGUCUCCAUAAUUUGGCUUUUGACCAGUUGUUAAUAAAUUUUUUAUUCCAUUGGUGCUAAAUGUACACGUGAAGCAGGCAGAGCAGGACUGUGGAAAUGAGAAGGUUUUUAGUGAAAGCUUAAACUCAGGUAAUUCUAAAAAGUACAUGUUUUUGCUGAUUUAUCUAAAUCAGGAAAUUUUAUUUCCAUCUGUUACAAGAUAAAACAGAAACAGAACACAAAGAAAAAUAUUCUACUUCUUGUGGCAAUCUUGCCUUCAUUCAGACAAUGAAACCAUUUCCUUUCACCAAUUUCUUCCAAAAGUUUGAAUAAGUUUCAUGGUUGGACAUAGUUAGCUUCUUUUUCUUUUGGUGCAUUUAGGUCCUAUCAAGUGACAGCCAUAAGUAUGAUUGCAUUAUUGGGAAAUUUUAGGUUUUGAUGGCUCCCCACGUUAUUGCCAAGAAAGUCCUCAUGUCAAAAGCUGCGGUUCUUUUCAUCAGCCUGAACCCGAACCUGUCGUUAUGGAUAACUCAGGUUUUUGUCAUCAACUAUAUCAUCUUUUUUACUGUUUUGAAACUCUUAAGAUUAAACUUCAGUAAAGUUGUUUCAGUUAUCCAUGUAAUCAGGCCAAGGAUAUUUAGCAGCUUAUUUAGGCAACUGCCAGAAUUCAGUUUGUUUGCUCGAAACUUGUAUGGUGACAAGGAUACUGGCAAGGAUAGUGAGAUAGUUUUUUGUGUGAGUGAAAUUUGAAAGCUUGGGUGUUCUGGGAUUUGCAAUUGCAAUCAUCCUCUGAGUCAGGUGAUUUCUUCUCCUGCUCUGUCUUGAUUUUCUCUCUAAUUGAAAGCAUAAAGUAUUUCAAUCAAAUUCUGUACCAGGAGUACAUAAAAGUUACUAAUAUUUUAUUUCCAUCUGUUUGCAUUGAUAACUCGGCAUAUGUUCUAGUUAAAGAACAAACAGAAACAGAGUUCAGGAAAAAGUUUCUUCGGCCACCAUAUUUGAAAAUGAAACCAUUUCCAGGAAGCAGUUGGCAGCAAAUUCAUAUGGAGUGUAGACAAUGAUGAGCAAAAAGGUGAUUCGCAAUUUCUUUUUUUUUUAAGUGAAAUUAUUUGUUAGAUUGAAGCUGAUAUUGUAAGAAGGCCAUUGAGCUAACCUAUGUCGUCACUUGCCUAGAUUGCAGGGGGUCAAGACUCAAAAGAAGCACUGAAAUUUAAAAAGCAUGGAAUAGUUCUUUUGCCAUGUGUCAAUUAAUGCAAGUUUGAAUAAGUUUAUUGGCUGAACGAUGUUAGCUUCUUUUCCUUUCGUGCACUUUGGUAUGCUAUCAAGUGACAGCCGUAUGUAUGGCUUGCAUAUAGCUGCUGCUGGGAAAAUUGACGAUUUCAUGGCUGGCCGUGUUAUUGUCUUAAAUUAGUUGUGAUAAGCUGUUGCUUGGAGAUUCUGUUGCCAAGACUUUGCUCACAUCAGAAGCUGUGGAAUCUGAACCCUUCGUUAUGUAUCAUCUUUUUCAUUGUUUUAAAACUCUCAGGAUUAAACUUGAGCGAAUUUGUUCGGUUGUCUAUAUAAUCAUGUAUUGAGUAAACUCUCAGGAUACUGAGGGUGAGAGAAAUUAGAGGGUGUAUAGGGAUUUGGAUUUGUUAGGAAGUUAUCAUUUUUAUUUUUAUUUUUAUUUUUUUCCCAGAAAAUCUUCUGGUGGUGCUAUAUUUUCAAACGACAGUCCGAUUCAAAACUUGAUAUUCCAAUUAUAUUCAUAAGCUUCUACAGUUAUCUUCAAAAAGACAAAUGGAAGGCUUUGAACGGCUUGGGUCUGAGUAUUGUAGUUUGAUUUAUUUUGAUGAAAGUACCUUUUGACAUUGAGAUUCUUUCAUGAGUUAAACAUUCUUUUUAAAACCAACUUAUUAAAAAAAAAAAGUAACUAACAUAUAUUAUUUUGUUAGUGCUUUUUAAAUCAAAUAUAAAAAAGAGAACUGUAAUUCUUAGCAACCAAUUUUUCACUGAGUACACCUACAACAAACUAUUAAAAAAUAAAGUGAUAGAAAAUGCCUGAUUUUUCGUACUUUCUAAUUACUUUUGGUCCUAAAAUAUGGCAAUUUGUGUAAUAAUAAGCCCAUGUAUAUCUUUAUGCCAUUAGUUUGAUAAAUAGCUAUCAAGGAUAACUUAUUAAGCUAAAAAUAUUUGAAGGAUAAAUUGAUUUAUGCAUCCAAAGAUACAUUAUAUAUUUCUGUGUCUCUAUUUAUAGAUGACAUUUAAGCAUCCAUAAACCGUCAGACAGAGGAAGGGGGUUCAGUGCAAAGAUUCUGUUGACCUAGGGUUGACUGCAUAAUGUCACUUGUUCGCAAUCUAUUAUUUAUUUUAUAUUUUGAAGAAUUUAAUGGGUAAUCCUAAUUGUUUGUUUUGGCAGGUAUGUGUUGUUAUCUCCUUCUAUCUAACAGUCGUACCUAAAUAGCAUAGUUUCAUCUGUGUUACCAUGUGAUGUACAUAAUUUCACAUUUGCCUCAGAUUAAGCUUAAUUUCCCACAGAAUAGAGCUGUCGUGACUGGACUUAGGUUGAUGUCCAAAGAGGUAAAUUAUUGGCAUGCCUAGAUAAUUUGGCCAUUUCCUAAUUCAUAAGUCUACAUUAAUUUUGAUUUUGAGUUGACUGAUUUCUUUUCAAGGUCUGCUUCCUUAACGGAGUGACCAAUGUUUUUCAACUAAAUUUAUCAUAUGAUGCAGGAAGCAGGGCAGGAUAUGAAAUGAGAUCUCAUUGGUGGAAGUAUUGCCAGUAGCAGAACCCAAUGAAAAUGAAACUAUUUCAAGGCAGCAGUUGGCAGUUGCAAGUGAAUGGAGGCCCUUGACAAAAUUCUCAAGCGGUUGCAAUGAUGGUAAUUUCUUCUCCUGCUUUGUAUUUAUUUGUUAUCUAAUUAGGAAGCGUGAAGUAUCUUGAAUCAUUUUCUGUAUCUGGAAUAUAUGCAAGAGUUUCUAAAAUUUUGAUAUGAGUGUAAUGAUGGUAAUUUCUGUUUUCUGUCUGUCAUCAAAUGUUAGAAAACUUUCAUUGAGACCCUUGAACCGAGUCAUUUUUGACAAGUGAAGGACAAUUGCUGAAGAGUGGGAAUGGUGCUAGAUUGGGGAAUAAAGACAAAGGAGGUAAAUUAUUUGCAGUUUAUUCAGCAUUAUUUGCUUUGGACCACCGCCUGAUUCACAAGUCUCCAUAAUUUGGCUUUUGACCAGUUAAUAAAUUUUUAAUUCCAUUGGUGCUAAAUGUACACGUGAAGCAGGCAGAGCAGGACUGUGGAAAUGAGAAGGUUUUUAGUGAAAGCUUAAACUCAGGUAAUUCUAAAAAGUACAUGUUUUUGCUGAUUUAUCUAAAUCAGGAAAUUUUAUUUCCAUCUGUUACAAGAUAAAACAGAAACAGAACACAAAGAAAAAUAUUCUACUUCUUGUGGCAAUCUUGCCUUCAUUCAGACAAUGAAACCAUUUCCUUUCACCAAUUUCUUCCAAAAGUUUGAAUAAGUUUCAUGGUUGGACAUAGUUAGCUUCUUUUUCUUUUUGGUGCAUUUAGGUCCUAUCAAGUGACAGCCAUAAGUAUGAUUGCAUUAUUGGGAAAUUUUAGGUUUGGAUGGCUCCCCAUGUUAUUGCCAAGAAAGUCCUCAUGUCAGAAGCUGCGGUUCUUUUCAUCAGCCUGAACCCGAACCUGUCGUUAUGGAUAACUCAGGUUUUUGUCAUCAACUAUAUCAUCUUUUUUACUGUUUUGAAACUCUUAAGAUUAAACUUCAGUAAAGUUGUUUCAGUUAUCCAUGUAAUCAGGCUAAGGAUAUUUAGCAGCUUAUUUAGGCAACUGCCAGAAUUCAGUUUGUUUGCUCGAAACUUGUAUGGUGACAAGGAUACUGGCAAGGAUAGUGAGAUAGUUUUUUGUGUGAGUGAAAUUUGAAAGCUUGGGUGUUCUGGGAUUUGCAAUUGCAAUCAUCCUCUGAGUCAGGUGAUUUCUUCUCCUGCUCUGUCUUGAUUUUCUCUCUAAUUGAAAGCAUAAAGUAUUUCAAUCAAAUUCUGUACCAGGAAUACGUAAAAGUUACUAAUAUUUUAUUUCCAUCUGUUUGCAUUGAUAACUCGGCGGCAUAUGUUCUAGUUAAAGAACAAACAGAAACAGAGUUCAGGAAAAAGUUUCUUCGGCCACCAUAUUUGAAAAUGAAACCAUUUCCAGGAAGCAGUUGGCAGCAAAUUCAUAUGGAGUGUAGACAAUGAUGAGCGAAAAG